CCUACACUAAAUCUUUCAGCCCUUCAUCAUCACACAACAUUGUACUGCCCUACCUUACAGACCCUAACCUACAUUACAGAAUCCUUUCCCUGACACACCCUCAUAUCUUCCUCUUACCCUGUAACCCACAAAUACCUAGCCCCUACACUCUACAGUGAACUGGUACUCCAUUGGUUAUGAAAACAAGGGUUCCAGCUGAUCUGAUCAAUGGAACAACUUGCUCAUGGAAUUAACUUGCAAGUGGCUGAGCACACCACAGAUAUGCAUACUCUUAACAUAGUUCUCGAAGAGAAAUUGUGUGACACAGAAUGUGACAAGUUUGGACCUCUGAAUUACAGGUACAGCUCAGUUUUACCAGCUGAGUUGACUGGAGCAGCAUGAAAUAAAGUGUCUUGCUCAAGGACACAACAUGCCACCAGAUAUUGAACUCAUUACCUCAUGACCAUGAGCCUAACCACUAACCACAAAGCCACAUGCCUUCACCACACUAAACAAUAGAAGUACAAUAACCCACAUGAAUAUAUUAGGGUGUUCGGAAAGUAAUUGUGCUUUACCAGAAAGGAUAAAAAAAACAAUUGUAAACUACGCUUAUUUGAAUAGUUUUAAUCAAGUUUUGCCUCUUAUAAAAUGUUCUAGUGAUUGGAACAGAUGGAAGUCUGCAGGUGCUAAGUCGGCAUGGGUUGGACGAUUUGACUGAGGACUGGCGAACCAGAUGGCAACACCAGGCUCCAAUCUAAUUUGGCAGAGUUUCUACAGCUGGAUGCCCUUCCUAACGCCAACCACUCAGAGAGUGUAGGAAGUAUCCAAAGAGCAUUCAAGGCACAUAAUGCUUUAUGAGUACAAAAAAGGAAACUCUGCAGCCGAAGCGACUCGAAACAUACACUCAGUUUAUGGGAAAGAAUGCUCGAAUGAAAGAACUUGCAGAAGAUGGUCUACAAAAUUCAGAAGUGGCAAUUUCAACCUUGAAGAUGAAGAUUGAACAAGAUGUCCAAUUGAGUUUGUUAAGCUCCUUGAGGCAUUACUUUAAGAAAAUCCUACAUUAUCAGUUGAAGAAUUGGCAAUAAAACUUAGUU